UAUUGUUCUUUAAUAAAGUUACGAACAUUUUGAUAAAGAGUCAGAGGAGGACGUGCUGGUCUCAGCCUCCUGGCGGUGUUCAGUUUGUCUCCUACCGCCGAGAUCGACUCAAAACAUUCCACAA